rnacentral:rRNA from 1 species
AUGGAUGGUGACUGUGGUUCAAAACCACACAAAUUGCCAUUACAAUACUUAAAAGAUAUCACAAAGAACUUCUCGCGAGUACUUGGGAAAGGUGGUUUCGGUGUGGUAUAUGAGGGCGUGCAACCGAAUGGGGAAAUAGUUGCUGUGAAGAAGCUUUUGAACCCAAUGUCACAAAAGCAAUUUGAGAAUGAGGUUGAUCUUCUGAUGAGACUUGAGCAUCCAAAUAUAGUACGAUUAGUAGGCUACUGCUAUGAAAUAGAAAACGAACACUUCCCUCUCAAUGGGAAAUACGUUUUUGCUGGGAAGGCAGAAAGUUUGCUUUGCCUGGAGUAUCUGCCUAAUGGAAGUCUUGACGAGUUUCUUUCAGAUUCAGAUAAAUCUUCUCGACUUGAUUGGCACACACGCUACAAAAUAAUUGAGGGGACCUGCAGUGGUUUACAGUACCUUCACGAGCAAACUGACGGGCCUAUCAUUCACUUAGAUCUAAAACCCGCUAACUUACUGCUCAAUGAUGCUUUGGAGCCCAAACUUGCAGACUUUGGUCUGUCACGUCUUCUUGAUCAACAAGGAACUGUGUGCACUAUGGAAGUUAACGGGACAUUAGGAUACAUGCCCCCAGAAUACCUACAAGGUAUACUCGGAACUAUGUCAGAUAUAUUCAGUCUGGGUGUAAUAAUCUUGGAGGUAGUAACAGGAGAAAGGAAGUACCCAGAUAAUAUUCCUCCUUUGGAGGAAUUCAUUGAGACUGAGCUUGAAAAAUGGAGAGAUACGCUGUAG